rnacentral:rRNA from 1 species
UACGAAGGGGCUAGCGUUGCUCGGAAUUACUGGGCGUAAAGCGCACGUAGGCGGCUUCUAAGUCGGGGUGAAAUCCUGGAGCUCAACUCCAGAACUGCCUUCGAUACUGGAGAGCUCGAGUCCGGAGAGGUGAGUGGAACUGCGAGUGUAGAGGUGAAAUUCGUAGAUAUCAGGAGGAACACCGGUGGCGAAGGCGGGUCUCUGGGCCGAUACUGACGCUGAGGAGCGAAAGCGUGGGAGCAAACAGG